GUCGAGUCGGCCUGCGCGGAAGAUGUAACGGGGCUAAGUAGUAAACCGAAGCUGCGGCAAUAUACUUUUGUAUAUUGGGUAGGGGAGCGUUCUGUAAGCGGUUGAAGGUGUGUGGUAACGCAUGCUGGACGUAUCAGAAGUGCGAAUGCUGACAUGAGUAACGAUAAAGGGGGUGAAAAACCUCCUCGCCGGAAGACCAAGGGUUCCUGUCCAACGUUAAUCGGGGCAGGGUAAGUCGACCCCUAAGGCGAGGCCGAAAGGCGUAGUCGAUGGGAAACGGGUUAAUAUUCCCGUACUUCUUACAAUUGCGAUGGGGGGACGGAGAAGGCUAGGUGGGCCUGGCGACGGUUGUCCAGGUUCAAGUGCGUAGGCUUAAGAGUUAGGUAAAUCCGGCUCUUUU
rnacentral:rRNA from 1 species